UGGAGCAUUAAUCCUCUCUAAAUCGUGCAGCUAUGCAAGAAAAUAUGCCUCAACAUGUGAGAACACACAACAGACUCCAAUGAAACUGGUGAAUACACGGACAGAAAACAGACUGAAAUUUUGUAGUAGAGCGUGAAUGAGGUGGUGCUUAUUUCCCUGUCUUACAGAAACUGAGAACCUGCUAGUAACUUUUUGUUGGAGACGUGUGCUUAGGGCGGCAGUCUUGCUUUCGUAGGCUUGUAUGGCUAUUGACCCUGAGGAACUCCAGUCUGCACCAACUUCACUGCUCUUCAACAAAAAAAUAAGCCAUCACUUUUAAAUACAAUGUGAUUUUUUAUGUUAUUGUUGUUCUGUACAUGAGUGUACAGUUACAAUAUGGCAAAUAGAAAUUAAUUAGAAUUUAAUAGAAAUUAAGUUUAAUAGAAAUUAAAGAACAGUCAGGGCAGUGAGUCAAGGAACUCCUGUAUCUCCCCCAAGCCCCAGGAAAGGGACCUGUUGUUCUGGAGCACUGGGAUGAGUUAUCAACAUAACUGUGCUCUGAUCCCAUAAGUGGGAAGGCACUAGGUGGUAAUAAGCAAAGCUAAUGAAUUCAGCCCAACCCAAUACCAGAAAUAUGUUUGGGCUUCAGCAAUUAGGUCAGGCUUGUUAGUUGUUAAUCAAUGGUCAGCACAGUGGUUAAAAGAAAAGAACUGUGUUUCCACACAGAUGUUGGCCAGGUCUUUUAUUGCCCUUUGUCACUGUAAGAGAUUUUUUCAGUGCUGCCCAUUUCACUUGUCUCAGUGGCCCAGUGACACAAUGAGAAAUCCACGGCUGCUUACCAAAAACUGUUUAGACCUGUUGUGUGACACUGAGCCUCUUUAAUGAGGACACUGAAGGAGCAGCUGACAGGAUCAACAAGCUUAGCAAUCAUCUUGAGACAGGUCCACUCAGGGAUCACUCUGCUGUUAUUUCAGCUCUGCUGUUAUUUCAGCAGGGGAUAUUACUCGCUUUGGUGUUUAUUCCUUGGUAACACUCACCUAGGAAAGAUCCACUGCUAUUUAAAUGUUUUGUGUCCUACUUUGGGGUAGCCUCUAAUACUUCAAAUCUUGUGGAAAAUUCCACUGGAGCAAGUUAAGCACCCUUGCACCAGGCAAACGAGUAACUGGAAAACACCCUCACUCACCCAGCCUUCUCUCUCAAGGACGCCUAGGAAGGACCUCCUUUAUGGAUACAUACUUUGCCACUGUGGCUUGUGGAAUACACUAUUACUAAUCUUUUCAUUAUGCUGGAUUUAUUUAACAUGCUAUGGAUAGCUUUACCGACUUCAGAAGUACUGGAGAGAAAGGACAGCCUUGUCUUAGCUUCCAUUUCUUAUCCUCUACCCAGCCAAACUCAGUAUGUAGAAACUUUUUUCAUCAUUUCUGCUUUACUUUCUUUGGUCAUCAUUCUCAAACCCAAGAGCCAUAUGACAGCAGUUUAGGAAAGCCAUGCUGUCUAGAGUUCAGGCAAGAAAUCUUAAAAGCAGUUACUGCUUCCUGCUCACUUUCUGGAGCAGCCAUGAACAUUUCUCCAGUUUUGGGCUGAUUACCCUAGAUCUUUCCCACUUACAAGAAAUUGUAGUACCUGGUGAAGGGACCUCCUGCGGAAUACAGCAUCAGUAGCAGAUUCUGCUACUGGUUAUUCUGCUGGUCUCUGGCUGCAGUUUUUAGGCAGGCAGGGCUACAUAAAUGUUUCCCUGUGGGUAGACACCGGGGAGGAGAAACACAGCAGCCAUUGGCUCAGCCAGGCUCUUCUGUAGGAAAUUUAUCACAGCAGGACAGGUCAUUGUCUCAUAUUUUAGCUGAAGGGGACCAGGUGGAGAAAAAAAGAGGAAUUACAGAAUCACAGAACUGUAGGGGUUGGAAGGGACCUCAAGAGAUUAUCGGGUCCAACCCCCCUGCCAAAGCAGAUUCCCUAGAGCAGGCUGCCCAGGUAGGCGUCCAGACGGGCCUUGAAUAUCUCCAGAGAAGGAGACUCCACAACCUCCCUGGGCAGCCUGUUAAGGAGAUGAAGCCACACAGAAAUAGGUAGUGAGUGAUGGAGCCAUGGCAUUCCCUACCCCUGCGCCUUUUUGCUUCAUUUAACCAAGCACAACAGAAAUGCUGGGCUGUAGGUGGGAACAGUGGGAAACACAUUUCUGGUCCCCACCUCAAAUACCUGAUAGGAAGGUGUUGCACUUGCACAGACCAAGGGAGUCCUGCAAAGGUGCACACAGUUAUUAACCAGAACAGGUUCUCCCAACAUGCCCUGUGUUCAGACAGGCAGCUUAUCUUGCAUGGUGAAAUCUGGGAACCUGGGGCUCUUUCCAUGUCUAAACCGAAAUGUGAGAUCUGCUGCUAAAGUGUCUCAAAUUCAUCAUGCGUUGAUGCAGCCCUGCACUGAUUGCACAGCUUCGGCACUGCUGGGAUUAUCAGCAGCAGUCAUUAGUGUUUCCUAAUGGAAUUCUUCUGUGGUUACAAAGUAGGCUUUGUACAUAUGCACAAAAAGCCCUUGCAUUGAUUAACUGGAUUAAUGUCUUGAUUAGUCAGGCCAUGAUAAGUAUUAAAAUGCUCUAGUCUCAAUACAGCCGUUCCUGUAGAUAAUUUUCCCACCUUAAUCCAGUGCUGUUGUUUUAUGACCAUAAAAUCCAGGCUCUGCCCUCAGAAGGAAGAUUUCUCUCAGAACACCUACACUUUAUACUAACUUCUGUAAGGCAGAUCAUUUAGUACUCGUUUGCUAAUGAAGCUGCCAGAAAAUGUUUCUUUCAUCUAAAACAAACUUGGGGCUGAUUUAAGAGUUCAGUACCUUAAAGCAUGUCUUCCUAGCUUAACACAAAGCAGGUCAGUAACUAUUUCAUUAUGAGGAAGGCUCUGAUCCUGCUUGGCAAGUGAACAAAGCAGGUUGCUAGAAUCCUUGGCAAACACAGUGUAGUUGUACUCUGUUAAAACACGGAGGUUGCUCAACAGCUGGCACUGAGAGGGGAACUCGGAUGCUGAACUGUGCCUCAUUAAACCCUUCCUUCUAUUCUGAUUGUAAGAGAAUACACAAACCUGAAGUACAGAACUGAAAAAGAGACAAAGAAAAGAUUUAGAAGGGAUUCUAAGCUAUAUCUGCUGAAGUGGUGAAAAUAAUAUUUAAUAAAAUAUAAACCAUAACAUACAAUUUUCUGGCCUAGAAUAAAUAUUAAUGAAGUCAUUUAGUGAUGCCUUGUCUGCUCUGCUGUGAGGACUGUUGUUAAUAUGGCCAGUUUCAAGCCAGGAGGGCUGACUGGAGACAGACAAAUGGGUGUGCCACGCAGGCCAUGAUUUGCAAAUAUGUCUUGGUCCAUCAAAUCACCAUCAGUUUGCAAGCUUUCUAUUCCCACGCAGCAUCCUUGAUGCAGGAUGAAAAUUGGCAAGCACUAUGUUUCUGGCCACAUACUGGUGUGGUCAAAGAAACACUAUUAUCCAGUGCCUUACCAGAAGGUGAAAUUCCUACUUUUCUUAGCAAAUAAAAAAAACAUUUAAUGCCUUGCACAUUGCAAUGCAACAAGAAGUUGUCGUAUUAACAUAUAUCUCUUACUUUUCUAUGAAGAAAUGCAGUUUAAUGAGAAGAAACCCAUCUCCCACACUGCACAGAUGACCCUCAUGCUGACCAGACUGGCGUUACUAGAAUGACUUGACUGGACUAACUCCAGCUAACUGCAUCAGGAAUACCCAGACAAUCUUAUUUACUUGUUAUUCCAACCCUGCAGCAUUUAGCACUCAUUUUGGAUGCUUUCAUUAUGUAAGAAUUAUCAAGUUUCUGUCUAAAUAUCUUCGAAAUUGAAUAUAUGUGGGAGUUUUCAAAAGAGAAAUGUCUUCUCAAUCUGAAAUUCAGAUCAACCACCUUUGAAAUAAGUUCCGUGUCCAACCUGCUGCUUAGCCUCUCAUGACUGCCACAGCAGGUGUGACAGUGUUUGGCACUGUAAAGCCAUGAUGCUGAAAGCAAUGAGUGGGUAGGAGAAUAUAGUGUUUUUUUUUGUUGUUGUUGUUUAUGUGUGUGUUUUUUUUCCAAAACAAAAUUGACCUUUUUUUUUUAAAAUGAUGUUAAGGGGAAAAAACAAACAAACAAAAAAAAAAAAAAACACCUUCCAGCAAACCCUUCCUGCCACACUUCAAAACAGUCUUGCUCUGCUCAUUUUCUGGCAGUGCCUGGCAGACACGUUCCUGCCUGCGGCUGGGUAUAAUUUGGCCACCAGAUGGCUUACCUGGCGUCCGUUCAACAGCGACCAAUCCACAGCCACGAGCAAAGGAAACUUCUGCAAAUCGGAGCCGGGGUGCGCUGAGGGAGCCAGCAGCGAGUUACAGGAAAUAUCGUGUGGCCCGACCUCCCGGCUGCUGGGGAAGAACGUGAUCGCAAGCCCCACCCUGGGCAGCAGCUCGAAGUCGGCUCAGUCCUGUGCAGCACAGCGGGCUUCAGCUGGCCUCCUCUUCUUACCCCUUCUUCCCUGCUUACACGGGGAAGCCUUGGACAGGUGGGAGAGGAGGCUCUGCGUAUGUGGCAGCACUGAGGCCGCUCUGCCUCACCGCUGCAUCCCCCGAGCCCUCCUCGCUGAGGAGGCUUUUCAAAAGUAGAAGUGCUGCUUAUAGAAAUGCCUCGGAAACAAACAUUUGCAGGAUUAAAUCAGGAGGACAAAAAAAAAAAAAAACACCUUUGUUAUUAGAUAUUGCCUUUGUGUGAAAGCUAAACACGCGACCACACAGGCCAAACCCACUGCACUGUAAACAGGCUCAGCCCCACAGAGCCGCUUGCCAUGCACCAGCUUUGUGUUCGAGUCUCGUGUUUUCAGCUGGUGAGAGACCCUAAACAAGGGCCGUGCUGUUCAGCAUGCCUUAGCCCCCUUCCAACCUGCUGGUAGGGCGGCAGCCAUGCUGUUUGUGAAAGAGACAGGAACGUUUUUUUGGCAAAUGACAGCUGGGAAUGGUAUACCUGGUGUAUCGCCCUCCAUUUUCUCAUAACUCUCAUUUUUGCAGCCAUGUCAAUAAUUCUCUGUGACAUUAGAGGAACACUCAAUCUGAACAAAUGUAUGGCUCUCCAUGGGAAAAAAAAAAAGUAAAGUUUUGUAUUUGGAGGCUGAUAAUAUCUGUAAUUCUGUGAGUGGCAUCAAAGAAGGUUUUCCUGAUUCAUGCAGGGGAAAAACUCUGGGGAAAAUAACAACUGAAAUUUCCUGCUACAGAUGACAUAGGUCACAGGUUCACAUUUUCUAAUGCCUGGAAAGAUUACCGUGUGGUGUCUCCCUGAGCUGAGAGAGUGCACCAGCAGCAGGUGGUUUCCAUAUUUUGCUACCCUCCACCACUGCCAGUGCCACGCAGGCUGUCUGCUGGGACUUUUUCUAAGACCGAGCUAGAAGAAUCAGCUCAAGAAGUCCAUGGACUCUUCAGCCAGGCUCACCUUUGCUCUGGCUCAUUACAACAGUUCUUACCAUUCCUAAAUUUCCAGAGCACAAGAUAUAAGAAAUUGCUAGCCUCAGUGACUUUAAUCUAUGCUUGCACUGUCCCGACACCAGUUUUACAGUUCAGCCUCAUAAUAAAUUACUAUCGUGCGAUCAAACUGACCGGCUGUUACAGCUUUACUUCAUAGCUCUUGGUUCCUGCUUGACACUGUUAUCUACCAGGAUAAGAGAAUAAGGCACCUGCAGAGUACUACACAUUCAAAUGAGGCUCUACUGUGUUAAGAGGAGAAGAUAAUGUGUGCCACUUCACGUAUGAUUUCGGGGAAGUCGUUUGUGUUGAAAUCAACAAGCUGACUCAUUACUGGCAUUUAAUUACAGUGAAAAAUCUGUUAAAAAGUCUAAACUGCCACUAGCAAAGCUAAGACAGCUCGCAGCACCUUAAUUAAUAUGAACCUAGGUAAGGACAAGACUAUUAGCAGUGUUAACGUACUUUGACGUAGCACAAAGAGGAAUAGGCUGAAUAAAACAGGUGUUACUGAAGAACUAAAGAAAUGGCUUCCGUCAGUACUAAUGGGGUUUUGUCUCCUCAAAACUGGGUGCUUUGUGUCCAUGAGGGUACUGACACCAAGUAUUUUGCUCUGACAAAAGCUUCACACAGGCUCUCCAGAUACAGUUUUAAACACCUGGUGCAGACCGCAAAAUUUUCAGUCCAGCAAGAGUGUAGAGCAUGCCGAGCUGGAGCAGCGAUGGGGUGGGAGAAAAACCAAAGCACCCCGUGCGAGAAAUGCAGAGUGUUCCCAGGUGGCUGCUCAGACACACACACAUAUCCUGUGUCACACAAACUGAACAAACGCGAAUACCUGCAGGCAUUCAUUUCCCUGCUGCUGACAAAAUGCUAUGGCAUGCUGAAUGCAACUCACUUCUGCAGUCAGAUUACUCAAUUUUAGCUCAAGUUUUACAUCUUCUGUGCCUUCAGAGUUCACAGUGACAUUUACAGCUCCAGAACAAAAUGAAUGCAUGUUCAGUUCAAUGGGAAAGUACAGCAAGGAAACGAUGAUUAUGGCAGACCCGGAACAUGAUUUCCACUUUAUAGAGGCUGUGUAAUGUGCCAACAAUUUAGAAUGUUACACCUAUUAGAAUAGGGCAAAAUGUAAACUGAGAAAAUAACUCCAUUUUAUGACAUUGAGAAAUUCAAAAUAAAAAUAAAGCCAGGAAACAAUGGCAAAUAUUGUGCUAUGACUCCACUUAAACACACAGGCAGCCAUCCAGCAUACAGAGAAAGAACAAGGUAGCCAGAAAUUCUUUUCCCAGAAUUGCACUGACAUAGUUGACAAUGGCAUUAGUUGCAAUUACGGCUGGAGGAACGUGAAGGCUUUUAUUGACAUAUUCACCUGGACUGAAUUCAAACCUCAAAUGAAAGCUCUAACCUACAGGCAGAAGAAUUGCAAAUGAGAAGGCAGUCAUUCCUCUGCCCUGGGAAACAAAGCAAAUUCUUGCUCUACUCAUUUUUAAACUUCUGUCUUGAACUUGUUCUACUUUGAAUACUGGAAAAGCUACGUCUGAGAGCAAAGCCUUGAAUUUUUGGAGCAGAGGACUGCAACUUUCUCCAUGCUAAAAUGCACUGUAAGGUGUCUCACACCUUUCUUCAAUUACAGAGGCACAGGCAGGAGUAGACUGCCCUUCUUUAACCCCCUGCUUGCCCUUGAACAGCUUUCUGCAGUGAAAGGUACGGCACAGGGAACAGCAGACACAUGCUUCUGCCCUGCCCGUGUACCUGCACCCCAAUCCGAGAAGUCCUGUGCAGCGUGCACCAGGGCACCGAGGCCUGACAGCCUCCAGUCUCUGAAGCCGGACUUCCAACAGAAGUGCUGAUUACUGGCAAAGAACAAAACCUCCAAUUCCGUUUGUUAAAUCAGGAUAAAUCAUGUUAAAACAACUUUGGACCAUUGCUGUCUUCAGCAAGAUUUAACUUGAGCCUUUGCUCUCGGCUUACUGGUAGAAGUAAUGGACUUAGACUCUGUUACUUCAGUGCUUCCUAUUACUCUGAUGAGGCUCACAAUAAUCAACUUGCAGUAACUAUUUUUUUUUCCUAGAAGGGCUUAAAUUGUGAAUGAACAGAGAACACAAUUUACAAUCAUACUUUGGACUUCCUAGAGAGAUCUCCAAUUGCUUGUGUAGGUAACAAAAUCCCAAACCACGAUCUCUUCAGACAGCCCCUAUUCUA